AAAAGGGUAGCUCAAAUGGUUAGAGCAAGAGCCUGAAAAGCUUUAGGUUGAUGGUUCGAGUCCAAUCCCCAUUCU
rnacentral:tRNA from 1 species